rnacentral:rRNA from 1 species
CUUGCACUCAGCUGACGACCGGCGCACGGGUGCGUAACGCGUAUGCAAUCUACCUCUUACUGAGGGAUAGCCCAUGGAAACGUGGAUUAAUACCUCAUAGUAUUAUAGACUGGCCUCAGUUUAUGAUUAAAGGUUACGGUAAGAGAUGAGCAUGCGUCCUAUUAGCUAGAUGGUAAGGUAACGGCUUACCAUGGCUACGAUAGGUAGGGGUCCUGAGAGGGAGAUCCCCCACACUGGUACUGAGACACGGACCAGACUCCUACGGGAGGCAGCAGUGAGGAAUAUUGGACAAUGGGCGAGAGCCUGAUCCAUCCAUGCCGCGUGCAGGAAGACGGCCCUAUGGGUUGUAAACUGCUUUUACAGAGGAAGAACCCUCCUUACGUGUAAGGAGCUGACGGUACUCUAUGAAUAAGGAUCGGCUAACUCCGUGCCAGCAGCCGCGGUAAUACGGAGGAUCCAAGCGUUAUCCGGAAUCAUUGGGUUUAAAGGGUCCGUAGGCGGGUCUAUAAGUCAGUGGUGAAAGUCUGCAGCUUAACUGUAGAACUGCCAUUGAUACUGUAGACCUUGAAUUAGUAUGAAGUGGUUAGAAUGUGUAGUGUAGCGGUGAAAUGCAUAGAUAUUACACAGAAUACCGAUUGCGAAGGCAGAUCACUAAUACUAUAUUGACGCUGAUGGACGAAAGCGUAGGUAGCGAACAGGAUUAGAUACCCUGGUAGUCUACGCCGUAAACGAUGGUUACUAGCUGUCCGGCCUAAUUGAGGG